rnacentral:rRNA from 1 species
GGAGGAACAUUGGUCAAUGGGCGAGAGCCUGAACCAGCCAAGUAGCGUGAGGGAAGACUGCCCUAUGGGUUGUAAACCUCUUUUGAUUGGGAACAAAGAGCGCCACGUGUGGUGCGUUGCGUGUACCUUUCGAAUAAGCAUCGGCUAAUUCCGUGCCAGCAGCCGCGGUAAUACGGAAGAUGCGAGCGUUAUCCGGAUUUAUUGGGUUUAAAGGGAGCGUAGGCGGAGAGAUAAGUCAGCGGUAAAAAUCGUGCGGCUCAACCGUACCUCGCCGUUGAUACUGUUUUUCUUGAGUGCACACAGGGAUGCUGGAAUUCGUCGUGUAGCGGUGAAAUGCUUAGAUAUGACGAAGAACUCCGAUCGCGAAGGCAGGUGUCCGGGGUGCAACUGACGCUGAGGCUCGAAAGUGCGGGUAUCAAACAGGAUUAGAUACCCUGGUAGU